rnacentral:misc_RNA from 1 species
GCUCCGUUGGUGAACCUGCGGAGGGAUCAUUACAGGACUCGCAAGACUCCUUCACCCUGUGAACCUCACUACAAGCACGUUGCUUCGGCGGGUGUCCCGGCGGGGGUUUUCCCUCGCCGGGGCGCACAGCCCGCCGGCAGCCUACUAUACUCUGUCUCUUUGCGUUGGCAUCUCGAGAAAAAACAAACAAGUUAAAACUUUCAACAACGGAUCUCUUGGUUCUG